AUGGGAGCUAUCUUACCUCUUUUUCACAGGUGGGGGAACCAAGGCACAGAGAUUAACCCAGCUGCCAAAUCACCCAAGGAGGCUGUAUCACAGCAUCAGCCUCCAGAACCAGAACUCAUAAAAGGUUUUAGCAGCAUGGAAUCCUGCUGGGAAAGCUCUGCAGCAGCUCUGGUCACAGCUGGCUGGGCACCUGGCUUGCUGGGCUUGGAGCUGGCUGAGGCUGGUACCUCCAGGAUGGGGCUGCAAGCAUUGGCUCUUGAGGUCUUACAGAAAGGUGGCUUCCCUGCAGCUCUGCUCCUUGCCAAGCUGUACUUUGGCCAGUAAAUGAAAGGUAAAAAGCGUUAUUUUGUUGUUUUGGGUGUUCACUGUGGUCCCAAGCCUAUAGAUGCAGGGAAGGGAAAGCAACCCCAUUCUUCCCUUACAAGUCCAUAGGGCUGUAAGCACAGACCGCUCCUCUCCUUUUGCUGGGGGCUUGCUGGCGAGCUGGGUGGUGCUCUAAGUGAAGGGGGAUGCUGCAGCUCGGGUUGUUUAAUAGCUGAAGCAUGCAGGAUCUGCUGUCCGACCCCGGCACAGCUUCAGCACUGCUUACGGAUGUCAGAUUUGUCACGUCUCUUCUCCUCGGCACCUCGCUGCUGUCACAGCUCGGCGUCUGCCAUAUGUUGCAGCCCAGUGCUCGGAGGUAUGUUUUCCUCAGGGCACGAUGGAAUAAGACUGCUUAAUUCUGGGCCUAGCACUGUGUUCUCUGGCUUGUGCCCCUUUCCCAAUGAAGGGCUUAGGUAGCUCUCUCCGAGCCCUGCAAAUGCAUUUAGGGUGGCCUUAUUCUGAGGGACGUUGUACCCCACAUGUAAUAUGGUAGCAACCAUAAUUAAAAUGUUUAUCGAUGAUGCUUGCAUGGUAAACGAAUGGUAAAACCCAAGGAGCACUAAAUCACGUGGAACCUGUUGUGCCAUUUCCCUUCUGAAUGGUAAUCCCUCUGGGAGCAGAGACUAGACCAAGCCCAGUAAGAGGCAAAGUGGACCAGGGCACAGCAGGAAGGGGGCUGUGGACUUGCGUAUCUGUCUUUUCCCCUGCAGCCAGAAUGUUUUACAAACUACUUCCUUCAAAAUAAAUAUAUAUAUUUGAUGUAAGGAGAACUACUU
rnacentral:lncRNA from 1 species